GCUGAUGAAAAGCAGCCCAGCCCUGACCCUGCAGCUCUGGGAGAGGAGCCGCAGCCCAGGGAGGCCCAGGUGUCCCAAGCCGGUCAUCAGGACUCAACACACACGGCUCACCAUGGAGUCUGGGCUGAGCUGGGUUCUCCUUGCUGCUCUUCUAGGAGGUGUGCAGUGUGAGGUGCAGCUGGUGGAGUCUGGUGGAGGCUUGGUGCAGCCUGGGGGAUCGCUGAGACUCACCUGUGUGGCCUCUGGAUUCACCUUCAGGAACUAUGGCAUGAGCUGGGUCCGCCAGGCUCCAGGGAAGGGGCUUCAGUGGGUUACAGGUAUUAGUGGUAAUGGAAACAGCAAAUACUACACUGACUCCGUGAAGGGCCGGUUCGCCAUCUCCAGAGACAACGCCAAGAACACGGUGGAUCUGCAAAUGGACCGCCUGACAGACGAGGACUCAGGCCUGUAUUUCUGUGCCAAAGACACAGAAGAUGUGGUACCCUGGAUCAUUGAUGGUGACGUGGAGAAGCAGGCGUACAGUCUACAAACGGUGUAG